rnacentral:rRNA from 2 species
GAGUUUGAUUCUGGCUCAGGAUGAACGCCGGCGGUGUGCCUAAUACAUGCAAGUCGUACGCACUGGCCCAACUGAUUGAUGGUGCUUGCACCUGAUUGACGAUGGAUCACCAGUGAGUGGCGGACGGGUGAGUAACACGUAGGUAACCUGCCCCGGAGCGGGGGAUAACAUUUGGAAACAGAUGCUAAUACCGCAUAACAACAAAAGCCACAUGGCUUUUGUUUGAAAGAUGGCUUUGGCUAUCACUCUGGGAUGGACCUGCGGUGCAUUAGCUAGUUGGUAAGGUAACGGCUUACCAAGGCGAUGAUGCAUAGCCGAGUUGAGAGACUGAUCGGCCACAAUGGAACUGAGACACGGUCCAUACUCCUACGGGAGGCAGCAGUAGGGAAUCUUCCACAAUGGGCGCAAGCCUGAUGGAGCAACACCGCGUGAGUGAAGAAGGGUUUCGGCUCGUAAAGCUCUGUUGUUGGAGAAGAACGUGCGUGAGA